AGUGAACGCUGGCGGUAGGCCUAACACAUGCAAGUCGAACGGCAGCACAGUAAGAGCUUGCUCUUACGGGUGGCGAGUGGCGGACGGGUGAGGAAUACAUCGGAAUCUACUUUUUCGUGGGGGAUAACGUAGGGAAACUUACGCUAAUACCGCAUACGACCUACGGGUGAAAGCAGGGGAUCUUCGGACCUUGCGCGAUUGAAUGAGCCGAGGUCGGAUUAGCUAGUUGGCGGGGUAAAGGCCCACCAAGGCGACGAUCCGUAGCUGGUCUGAGAGGAUGAUCGGCCACACUGGAACUGGGACACGGUCCAGACUCCUACGGGAGGCAGCAGUGGGGAAUAUUGGACAAUGGGCGCAAGCCUGAUCCAGCCAUACCGCGUGGGUGAAGAAGGCCUUCGGGUUGUAAAGCCCUUUUGUUGGGAAAGAAAAGCAGCAGGUUAAUACCCCGCUGUUCUGACGGUACCCAAAGAAUAAGCACCGGCUAACUUCGUG
rnacentral:rRNA from 1 species